AUCGCUUCUCGGCCUUUUGGCUAAGAUCAAGUGUAGUAUCUGUUCUCGGCCUUUUGGCUAAGAUCAAGUGUAGUAUCUGUUCUUAUCAGUUUUCAUGCUGGUGGGGAUGGGUGCUGCAUGGAGGAUGCAGGUGUACCAGGGCUUUCCGGGGCUGGUUCUGAGGAAUCAGCUCGACGGCUGCCCCGAUGUGACCUGUUCCC